GGUGGUGUAGCUGCAGCUGGUUAGAGCGCACGACUCAUAAUCGUGAGGUCGACGGGAUCGAGCCCGUCCACCGCUA
rnacentral:tRNA from 1 species